ensembl:lncRNA
GUUAGAGCGAGAGACACAGAGAAACAAGCAGAUGUAGUUACACACGUGUCUAAGAGUUCGUUAGUUAAGAGAAAUAUGAAUGCCGUUAAAAAGUGAAAAGGACUUAUUUUAAGUGAUAUAAAAGAAGAUCAGAAGACUUUCUUUCAGAGCAUGCAGCCAACGAGGCAGGCCUUCACAAAGCAGCGAACAUCAUCCUUCACGGAGGCCACCAGAAACUGUUGCCAGAUGAAUGCAGCCAUGCAUCAAGCGCAAGGAUGACAGGACAGCUUGGAGGAAUGGCUCCACUGCAGGACCUGUGAAUGCACAGACUGGGGCACAAAAAGGAGAUGUCCAAGAGGUAUGGGGAGCAGCCACAGUACCAUAAUUGUGGACGAAG